UGCUGAUGCUUGCCACACAAAAAAAAAGUGGUUAUCAACUGGCUGCAAACCCUGUGUGCUUUAUUGGCUUACCUUAAUUUGUUCGUUUGGACAUCAGUAAAAUCAGUAAAACAAAACAUACUUUAUGCCUAAUUUAGAAGGAAAGCCUAUACUAGUCUUCUGGUCAACUUUUCAAACUGACUUCGAAAAAAGUAUUGGCCAAGACUCUAGUAUAAAAAAAAAGAAGAAAGAAAAACUGGUAAUCUUAAGAGUCACAUUCAGGAACAUUGUCAUUCAUUAUUUUCCCAUGUUCAACAACACAAUAAAUCCGUGGAGAGGUGGGGCAUGUUUUGUCUUGGCCACGCGCUGAGGGAUUAGCUAUUUAAAGACACGGGGUAGGCAGUGGAAAAUUCCUGUUGCCAGUCGGACUCAACAGGAAGACAGGGCGUAGUUAGAGCAUCAUCUGUCAAGGAGCGAAGAUUUGCGAUAGCAUCGUGUCACAAUCUGACAUAAACGGUUUCUGCAAGACAUUGAUCGGGCUUCACACGUUGACUUAUUUACCUACUCGACCAUUUGACCAUAGUUUUGCCAUUUUUGGGAUCUCAGACUCUUACAGACUGGCGCCUAUAUCUACAGGUCCCAUGGGCGUGAAGGUCCUCCAGUGUUUUCCGUGGUACAGGCGUUGUAAAGGCCGUGGCAAGGGGAGACACUGCCCUCCUAAGGCGGUGCCGUCCAGCGAGGGGGAACCUCACUUCUCUCCUGCCAUGUCCUGGUCCGCCGACGCAGCAGGAGGAGGAGGAGGAGGGGGAGGGUGUUAUUUCUCCCACAAGGCCAGGGUUGCCUACAGACACCAGCUGGAGGGCAACGUUAUAGACUCGACAUACUAACGCCCCCAGCUUCACCACCCAGGCCCCCACGAAACCUCCCACCACCCUCUUUCACCUAGCCAGCGGAACGGGAGGUCAGCACUGAGUCAACCAGGGAUGUAGUGGGUGGUGCUCGUGGACCACACACUGAGAGAGGAUGGAGAAUGAAGCCUGGUUAGAUGCCCCUGUCCUAAUGGAUGAACUGUGUGUGCGUGUGCAUGUGUGUGUGUGUGUGUGUGUGUGUGUGUGAGGAGCAUCACAGACAGAUGACAGAAAAACACUUCUGUUUUCUCUGAUGUGGUAUAAUACUAGUAGUAGUAAGACUGAAGCUUUGUUUACGCCAUGAAGUGCAUUGUAAAUGCUUCUCUGUUAUUCUUGACUUAAUUUAUUCAUAUUGUUUGCGGGUGUGUCUGCCUCUGCUCCUUAGUGUGUGUGUGUGCCUCUGCUCCUUAGUGUGUGUGUGUGUGUGUGUGUGUGUGUGUGUGUGUGUGUGUGUGUGUGUGUGUGUGUGUGUGUGUGUGUGUGUGUGUGGGUGUGUGUGUGUGGGUGUGUGUGUGUAUAAGAGUAGUGUAUCUAACACCAGUUUUGUAGUCGUCUGUAAUAUGUUGUCCAGAGGAUACAUGGUGGCCAGUGCACAGUGCAGUGUCUAAAAACAAUGUUUCUAAUAUACAUAUUGUCCUGCCCAAUCAUCUGUAAUAUUUGCACAACAACUUAUUUCUAUUAAUAUUGCAUACAAGGAUGAAAAUGACAAUAAGUGCAUCAGUUGGAUAUUUACUAUUUCAAUGAAAUAAUAAUUAAGUGAAAAACCUUACAUGACUAAUUUUGUCAUAUGAAUGCAAAAAAAGAAAAA